UACAGAGGUCCCGAGCGUUGUUCGGAUUCAUUGGGCGUAAAGGGUGCGUAGGCGGCGAGGUAAGUUGGAUGUGAAAUCCCGGGGCUCAACCCCGGAACUGCAUUCAAUACUGCUUUGCUAGAGUGUUGGAGAGGAGAUUGGAAUUCACGGUGUAGCAGUGAAAUGCGUAGAUAUCGUGAGGAAGACCAGUGGCGAAGGCGAAUCUCUGGACAACAACUGACGCUGAGGCACGAAGGCCAGGGGAGCAAACGGGAUUAGAAACCCCCGUAGUCC
rnacentral:rRNA from 1 species